rnacentral:lncRNA from 1 species
CCACUUAUGACAUCAAAUGGGAGUUGUUUCAGAGGCAAUUCAGGUUGGUGCUAGGAAGGGCUUCCCAACCAGUUACAACAAUGGCGGCCGUUCCUGGGGGAAACAGCAGUAUCCUCUGGCCUGAAAACCUUUGCAAACAGGACUGUUACUGACACCCUCCAAGACAGCUGCCCCUAACAUCUCAUCUUUCCGCAGGAGUUGGCAGGUUAAAAAACAUUUUCACAUCCAGUCUCACUUGUUCCUAUAAAGUAUCAGAUUUCAUUACACUCAUUGUACAAGCAAAGAGAUGAGGCUCAUUGGUCAAGUGACGUGACCAAGGUCACACAGCCAAUAACUGAGGAGCUGGGGCCACAAUUCAGCUCUCUGGACUCCAUUUCUUCUCUAUCUGCCUCGUGCUGUGUCUAGCAUCAUGUCAGAAGGGCUGUCCUCGAUGCCUCUGGAAGGUCCUGCCCAGCAGAGAAGAUAGGAAACCAAUGACUUGUCUCAGGGCUCUGUCAUCCCCUUUGGAUCUUUAUUCUUAGCCCAGAGCCCUUCCACCAAAACCAAAAUUAAGCCCGGACUCAAGAGGUGGGCCUGGAGCCAUGGCUGUCCUUCUGAAAUAGGAGACUGCAGGGGUGCUAGCUUCCUUGGGCAGGAGAAACACUUUGCCUGCUUCCUCCUGGUUCUGGCAAGCUCUUCCGAGACUCCUUUCAUUGGCUGUUUCCCAGCAGGUGCCAAGUGGAGAAGAUGGGAAAGUGUCCCCUACUCUUGGUUCAUGGGGAUAGUCCAGUCUGCAGGGCUCGGAGAGGUAUACAGACCAGUGGGAUGGAUACGUGUGUGCCUAAGCUUGCUCUGGCCUCUCCACCCUCUGGGGAGAAGGGAUGCUUACAAGCUUGUGUGGAGGAGGAGGAAGAGAAGUCCUCAUCAUGAAUCUAUCCAGCUCAGACCAGGUCUUUUUCUUUGGGCCUGA